CACCAACCACCAUCAGUGCACACACCAACCACCAAUCCAGCACACACCAACCACCAUAGUGCACACACCAACCCCAUCCAGGGCACACACAACCAUCAGUGCACACACAUAUAUACACACAUUCCCAAAGCCACCAUCCAACCACCAUCAGCACACAACCAACACCAUCAGUUGCACACCACCAUGCAGCACACACACAAACCCACCAUCAGUGCACACACACCAACCACCAUCAGCACACACUAACCACCAUCAGCACACACAACAACCACCAUCAGUGCACACCAAUCACCAUCAGCACACACACCAACCACCAUCAGCGCACACCCCAACCACCAUCAGCGCACACCAACCACCAUCAGCGUGCACACCAAUCACCAUCAGCACGCACACCAGCCACCACAGCACACACACCAACCACCAUCAGCACACACACCAACCACCAUCAGCGCACACACCAACCACCAUCAGCACACACACCAAUCACCAUCAGCACACACACCAACCACCAUCAGCACACACACCAACCACCAUCAGCGCACACACCAACCACCAUCAGCGCACACACCAACCACCAUCAGCGCACACACCGACCACCAUCAGCACACACACCAAUCACUAUCAGCACACACACCAGCCACCACAGCACACACUAACCACCAGUGCACACCCCAACUUGGAUGAGUCUGAACCCUGGCACACUAAGCACAGGAGUCUUCGUACUAAACGCCUCCACCUACAUGACAUCCUAGCAAAGGUGACACAACAGAGUCAGAAAACAGACCCAUAGCUGCAGGGGCUGGAGGUGGGGAAAGACGGCGAAAGGACACAGCGGCGUUUUCUGGGGUUGGACGCAGAAUUCUGUAAAUUGUGCUGGUGGUUUUGCCACUGUAUAUGUUUGUGAGAAUUCACCAAACGAUACACUCAAAAAGCGUGAAUGAUUUUGUGCAUAAGCUAUAUGUGAAUAAACCCGGCUUUU
rnacentral:lncRNA from 1 species